rnacentral:rRNA from 1 species
UACGGAGGGUGCAAGCGUUAUCCGGAUUCACUGGGUUUAAAGGGUGCGUAGGCGGGCAGGUAAGUCAGUGGUGAAAUCUCCGAGCUUAACUCGGAAACUGCCAUUGAUACUAUUUGUCUUGAAUAUUGUGGAGGUAAGCGGAAUAUGUCAUGUAGCGGUGAAAUGCUUAGAUAUGACAUAGAACACCAAUUGCGAAGGCAGCUUACUACACAAUGAUUGACGCUGAGGCGCGAAAGCGUGGGGAUCAAACGGG